rnacentral:rRNA from 1 species
AUGGUCAAUAGCCUAACGGCUGAACCAGCAACUUGGAGGAAUGUAUAGCGAAAGCUAGUUGCAUUAACUUCGACUAUGUCUAAGUUAAUGCAGCAUCGACUAUGUCGAAUAAAGUUCUAGGUAUAAUUAUGAUGAUGACAUUUUAUAUCUAUGUGUCUUGACCAAAUCACGUGCCAGCAGUCGCGGUAAUACGUGGAAGACUAGUGUUAUUCAUCUUUAAUAGGUUUAAAGGGUACUUAGACGGUAAAUUUAGCCCAAAUAAAAACAAAGGGUACUAAUUAUACUAGAGUUUAAUGAGAGGGGGUGUGUACUAGUGGAGUAGAGAUGAAAUUCUGUCAUACCAUUAUGACAGGCAACGGCGAAGGCAACCCUUUAUGUAAAAACUGACGUUAAAGGACGAAGGCUUUGUGUCACCAACAGGAUUAGAUACCCAAGCAGUCUUAGCAGACAAUUAUGAAUGCCAUAGAUAAGAAAAUAUAUUCUUUCUUAAAGAAGAGAGAAUGUGAUUUUAUCUAUAAAUGAAAGUGUAAGCAUUCCACCUCAAGAGUAAUGUGGCAACGCAGAAACUGAAAUCAUUAGACCGUUUCUGAAACCAGUAGUGAAGUAUGUUGUUUAAUAUGAUAGUCCGCACAAAACCUUACCACAAUUUGUAUAUUAUUAUCUAAAUACUGGAGUUGCACGGCUGUCUUCAGUUAAUGUCGUGAGAUUUUGGUUAAUUCCAUUAAAUUAACGUAAACCCUUACUUUAUUUAUAUUAUAAAGUAGCUCACCUCUAAAUUGGAUUUGAUAAAAGGGAAUAAGACAAGUCAUCAUGACCUGAAUAUUGUGGGCUAUAGACGUGCCACAUAUGCCUAUACAAAGGGAUGCGAAAUUGUGAAAUGG